CCCUACGGGGUGCAGCAGCCGCCGCGGUAAACCUUUGCGAUGGGCGAAAGCGUGACGAGGUUAGUCCGAGUGGCUUCCGCUGAGGAGGUCUUUAGCUAGCUGUAAAAAGGCUGGAGAAUAAGGGGAGGGCAAGCCUGGUGCAAGCCGCCGCGGUAA
rnacentral:rRNA from 1 species